rnacentral:siRNA from 1 species
UAUAUCAAAGUUUUAAGGGGCAU